rnacentral:ncRNA from 2 species
CUGCACCGCUAGGGGUGCCCCACGCCAGCCAUCCGGCGUGCGGGCUGAGAGAGUCCCUUUGAACCUGAUUGAGAUCAUCCUCGCGCAGGGAAGCCCGUCCGCCAUGCC